rnacentral:rRNA from 1 species
UGAGCAAUCUGCCCUUCACAUCGGAAUAACCAUUGGAAACGAUGGCUAAUACCGAAUAUGACUUCGGAUCGCAUGAUCUGAAGUGGAAAGCUCCGGCGGUGAAGGAUGAGCUCGCGGCCUAUCAGCUUGUUGGUGAGGUAAUAGAUCACCAAGGCGAUGACGGGUAGCCGGCCUGAGAGGGUGACCGGCCACACUGGGACUGAGACACCGGCAGA